GUCUAGCGCUGGCGCGGCGCUGCUGGGCGCGGAGCAGGCCGGGGGGGAUGAGCCAGGCCGCGCCGCUGGCCCGCACGCCCUGAGGAGCCGCCACCGCUGCCCCGCCGCGGAGCGCCCGCCCGCCCGCCCGCCCGGCGGCGCGGCCCCACCGCGCGGCCUCGGGCCCGCCGCCGCUGCCGCCGCCGCCGCCGCCCCGGGCGGGGAGCGGAGCGGGGCGGAGCGGGGCCGGGCCGGGGGGGCGCCCCGCGCCGCUGUCACCAUUGCUGGGGCCCGGAGCGCCGGAGAGCUGCUCUCUCCGCCUCCGCCUCGCUCGCCUCAAAGACGGCGGCGGCGGCGGCACCCUCAGGGACUCGGCCCGGCUCCGGACCCUCUCUGCUCGGGCGCCGCCGCCGCUGCUCCCGCCCCGCUCGGCGCAGCGGCGGCAGGAGGAGGAGGAGGAGGGGGCAGCCGCCGUCGCCGGGAGCCGCCGCCGCCGCGGGGGGAGGCGUGCCCGCCUGGGGCUGAGCCGCCGGCGCAGCAGGCCCCGCGCCCGGGGCCGCCCGGCGGCCGCCGGCCCGCCGCCGCCUCCCGGCUCCGCGCCCUGCCGCCGCCCGGCCCCUGCGCGCUGUCCCGGAGCGGACCCCGGCUGCCAGACAUGACCGCCAUCAUCAAAGAGAUCGUCAGCAGGAACAAAAGGCGAUACCAGGAGGAUGGCUUCGACCUGGACCUGACCUAUAUUUAUCCAAACAUAAUUGCUAUGGGUUUUCCUGCGGAGAGGCUUGAAGGAGUAUACCGGAACAACAUUGAUGAUGUAGUAAGGUUUUUGGAUUCAAAACAUAAAAACCAUUACAAGAUAUACAAUCUAUGUGCUGAAAGACAUUAUGACACCGCCAAAUUUAAUUGCAGAGUUGCACAGUACCCUUUUGAAGACCAUAACCCACCACAGCUAGAGCUUAUCAAACCUUUUUGUGAAGAUCUUGACCAAUGGCUAAGUGAAGAUGACAAUCAUGUUGCAGCAAUCCACUGUAAAGCUGGAAAGGGACGAACUGGUGUAAUGAUAUGUGCAUAUUUGUUGCAUCGAGGCAAGUUUUUAAAGGCUCAAGAAGCCCUAGAUUUCUAUGGGGAAGUAAGGACCAGAGACAAGAAGGGAGUAACAAUUCCCAGUCAGAGACGCUAUGUGUACUACUAUAGCUACCUGUUAAAGAAUCACCUUGAUUACAGACCAGUGGCACUGCUGUUUCACAAGAUGAUGUUUGAAACAAUUCCCAUGUUCAGCAGCGGAACUUGCAAUCCUCAGUUUGUGGUAUACCAGCUAAAGGUAAAGAUAUUCACCUCCCCUUCAGGACCCUCAAGACGUGAAGACAAGUAUAUGUACUUUGAAUUCCCUCAACCUUUGCCGGUAUGCGGUGAUAUCAAAGUGGAAUUUUUCCACAAACAGAACAAGAUGUUGAAAAAGGGUGAAAAAUUGAUGCUUUUCUUGCAAGAAUCAAUGGAGCCUGCUAUGACUCUGGCUGGCUGGAGUCCAGCCAAUGUACUACGGGGUACGGUGGGAAAAGGGCAUCUUUACUGGUUUCUCCUGCCACGGAAAGCUAAUAUCUGCUACAGUUCGUGAAACGCUUGUCUUUCUGGAAAGAAAGGGAAGUUGUUAAAGUGUAACCGUGGGGUUUUUUACGUAAAUGAUCUCUUGCACCUUUAAAAAUAUUCUUUCACUCAGUAUCCCAGAUCUAUGACCCUUUAAAUCUCUAGAAAACCGGUUGUAUUCAAAUGUUUUUUAAAUGACAAGGAGCCUGGCACAGCCUCUGUGAGGGCUGGAGGAGUGCGGGUCCAAGGCCAUCACCCAGGGACCGCCCUGGCUGAGGUUCACCCCUCUCUCCUGUCUCUCCCUAAAGCAGAGAUGCUGUUGGUUAUUGCCGCUUUUCUCAUCUGCAGCUGAGCCCUGUGCAAGAGGCAUGGGGACGGCACCUUGUAGGUCCUGUCUUUGAGUGCCAACACUACCAAGAUGUUGGCACGUUGUCUGUUGCUGCAAGAUGAAUGUGUAGGUGAGGAACGCUGUCUCAUGGGGAAGACAGAGCCCACCAAAGAAGGAAACUUCUCCUGUGGGAAAUGAUGUACCUGGGAAAGCCUGGGUUUGUGAGAUGUCAGCUGCUCUCCUAUUGAAUGGGCGUGUUUGGUUGCCCAUUCAAUGUGCUGCAGGAUGUGGCUGCAUUAAGUGAUACCUAAACGAGGUGACAGAGAAAGCCAUGCCUCUGUGUAGCACAGAAUCAGGAUGUGGAGGCAAACCAAAGCACCUGAGGACAUGAGGGAAUAAUCUGGUCAAGUGUCUAGUGGAGGAGAGAGAAUGGGGCUUAGGAUCAGAGAAAAAUUUAGGGGUCUCUAGCCCAACUUUUUCCCAAUGCUAUGCCAGCUGUGAAGGUACUUCCUACCAAUGCUGCUAGCUUCUGCUUGCAAAUGGGGUUACUGGAAUCAGGUGGGAGGGCUUUCCUGGGAGGUCAGACUGCUGAUUUCAAAGACCUGCUUAGAAAGGCACUUGACCUCCAGGAUCCUUCCUCUUGCAAACAGUGACUGUGACCAGCUGCUGAAAAUGUGGAGAGGGAGGAGGAAAAUCCUCUUGAAUGCCUGCAGGUCAAUGUCCUUCUGGGGGGGGGGGGGGGAAAGGGAGUAAUAUCAUUUGGCUUAUGCUAGAGAACAAACACAAAACCUCCCUGACUGCCUGAACUGCCAUCUACAAUAGAGGGAAAGGGAAGAGCGUGUUUACUAUGGCAGGCUUGAGGGUAAUGCAGGCUGUCAGAAUUAUAAAAUAUUCUUGGAAUUGCUAAAUGCUAUAGACGGUAAUUCCACCUCAGAAAGUCUCCUGGUGCAAAUGAAAUGUGUUAAAUGUUGGCUUGACACAAAAUGAAACUGGGCGUUGGCGUAGGAAUCUGCUGCUGUUUAGUCCCGGUUUAUGGGGAAUUGCUCGAGGAUUUUUUCCCAGAUGCUCCAAAGCCUGUAACCUGGUAAGGAAGACUGCACUGGCAAAAUAGCCAGGCUGGCAUAGAGGGGAAAGCAAGAUAGCUUGACUUCCAUUCAAAGCGGAAACCAAACCAAGCCUUGAAAAAACAGUCUGCGAGAGAUGGAAAUAGCAAACAGAGAGCCAUGGAAGUCGAUGAGAUGUUAGGAGUUGUUCAAAGCCACCAAGGAAGUAAAUGAGAAGAAAUGUUGGGCCAAUAGGAUUAAAAACAGAAGACAAAUGCCACCAUCUCCCCUUUCUACUGCCAAUGUCACCAUCAGGAGACCUGAGCCUUCAGGUAAGUAGACUUGGUUCACGAUGGAUGAGGUUAAACAGUUGGGGUGAGAUCUCAGAAGAUAAAUUGACCAGAAAGGUGUUAGAGUUUCUUAAAGCCAGAAAAAUCUCCCUUGGGACACCAUGCCAGUGGGGGAGAGGCAUGGUGGGCAAACCCUAAUGCCCUCCCAUGUCACUAUGAAUGAAAAACAGGCAUGAUAAUGCCUUUGGCUUUUGGAUAAGUAGCUCCUGACAGCUUUGAAGAAGCCUGAGUGCUUCUAUGAGCUACCAAAAACUGCUAUAGAGAUGGUGGCAGCCCCCAGAGAGGCUGCAGGAUGACAACUCAAGCCGUUACAAAGAGGCAGGUUGACCUAAGCCCUGGCAGGAGUGAGGGGGUAUAACAAUUAAUACUGUAAUGAAUAUCAUGGGAAAACACAGAGUCCAGCCUUUUCUGCUCACAACUGGCAAGUUUUAAACAUUGAGUCUCACACAGAUGAGAUAUGUUUGGUUCCCAUGAAGGCAUUAUAUCUGUCCUGCAAGACAGACUGGAUGGGAGACACUUAAAGGUGUACAUGGAAUGCAUUAGUGGGAUUAAAACUGGCUGGUGAGUCUGGACAUCCUUCUAAUUGAAAAUAAUUGGAGGGUGUGAUUCCCAUAGUGAGAGUCUGGCCUGGGCUGAUUCUCGGACAUGUGCUAAUUUUUAUUAAAAAAAAAACCAAAAACAAAACCAAAAGACCUCACUUUGGUGGUAUUUUCCUUACACUUCUGUGCUGGUCUGCAGGGGGAAAAGCUUUGCCAGCAUCAUUUUCAUGUUUUUAUGAACUUUCAUGCUGAUGAGCUUUUUCCAGUGCUGGCCCCGAUCCCACAGCAGUGGUGCCAUUUGGUCACAGUGCCGGCCGGGGCUGGCCAGGCUGCGUCCAGCCCUGUGUUGCACAACGCCGCCGGUUCCUGGCUGCUGCUCGGGCUCCCAUCCCCAUGCACAACUUGUUCCUGCACCCUUGCACUGGUGGUGGUUGUUAUUGCUUUUUUUUUCACCACCUCGCUCUGGCAAAGGGCUAUUUUGGAAGGACUAAUUUAGGGGAAAAAAAAAGCUUUAUGGAAGUGGUCAGGUAAAUAAGAGGCUGUAUGCAAAUACGCGCUUGGAAAAAACAAGUAAUGCAGAAUUUGGGUAAAUCCUGCUGAAGUCGCCUGGUUUGUCCACUGCCACUGCUGAAGCUGGCUGUGGAACUGAACAACAGCCUUGGGAGCAAGCCAACCAGAUGCUGUUCUUAAAGUAAAAUUAAAAAAAAAAAAAAAAAAAAAGCACACCAGGAUCCAACAUCUGUUAUGUCCUCGGCGUCACAGGCUGGGGUUGCAGCACAGCGGGGACUAAAGCAGGGGCUGCAGCUCGCUGCUGUCUGCAGGUACCACCACCUCAGCUGCCAAAACCCCCUUGAGAAAACGCUGGUGUUCAGCCACCUCCUGCCGCCUACUGGGGGAGGGAAACUGUAAAUGGCAGGAGUGUGCUGGGUCAUUGCUUUGGGGGCUGUAAAUCAGCAGUGGUGAUGGGGAAUUAAAAGGAAAAGCCUGUAUGGUGGGGGUGCAUGGCCUCAGCUGAACUUCCAACUGGCAGUGGUUUAGGCCAAAGUCCCACUUGCUCAUCAACUGUAAAUGGACACUGAACAGGCGUUUUUGGGUAGAACGAGACCUUGAUGAGUGUUCUGAGGAGGGAAAAAAAAAAAGCAGGAUCUGCCAUGCUAUCAGCCUGGAUAGAAUUUAAUGAUGGAAAAUCUUGGGUAGGAAGGCACCCUUGGAGGUCCCUAGGGCCAACGUUGCCGCAGGUUGCUGGGGGGCUGUGUCCAGGUGAUUUAGGGCAUCCCUGAGGAUGGAGAGCUCCCACCGCUUCAGGAUCCAUCCUAGGGAUGCCCCUCACACACAGCGAAGAUCACUCUGUGCAGUGCUUAAUACUCCCAGGUAAUAAACCAAGAAGCACAGUUGUCAGUGCUUAAAUUUGUGGUUUAUAUUCCAUAAAGAUUUUAAAAGUCUUGCUUACAUCUGGUCUCCCUUUCAAAAAUGAAAUCCUGCUCACAGAGUGGCAGAGUAUGUCCUUGUUGAACUGUGAUUCCCUAAGAGCAACCAAACCACUAAUGAUGGAUAUACGGUUAUUUUUGGAUGUGACGUUCCUAUUACUUGGUUUGUUUUCAGUUUUUCUUGAGUGAGUUUGGCUGUGGAGAUCUGUGGGGUUUUUUCUGGAUUUGAUAACAGGAACCAAAUUGAGACACUCGAAACAUCAGCAUGGUUUGCUACUUGAUUCAACAAACUUCUGAAAAAUUAUCACACAGAAGGAGUCUGAGGGAAGGUAAGGGUUUGCCUUUCAAAUGUAGUUGUGAUAGGGGAUGAAAAGCAAUGACGAGCAGCAAGCUUACAGGAAAAAAACCAAAAUAUGCAGAAAAUUUGUACUAAAUCAUGGGCUGGCUGCAAAAUUACUUCCUUGCUGCUAAAAUCUAGAGCGACUCAAACCUCUCUCUUGUUUUUUGGCACUGAGGGUGCAGACUGGACUUGCUCUCCAGGAGGCUAGCAGGUCUAAACCAGACUGAGAUGCUUCCAAAAAGAGUUUGUCUAUACAGGAAAACCUGAUUCUGCUUCAUAAAGACACGCUGUGACGAUCUGGAUAGGCCAGAGGAGUGAUGGCAGAGAUGGAGUAUGCUCAUAUGACAGAUUUGAGGCAUGGGAUCCAUACUGGAGGUAUGGAAUGGAAAAAAGGGUUGGGGAGCUGGUGGAAGGAGAACUAUGCUGAAGGGGGCGUGGGGUCCCAAAGGGGUGGUGAGCUUACCCAUAGGCAACAGUGAAGGUCAGCUCUGUCCAGGGCUGCGCUGGCCAAAGUGCAUGCAGCAGGUCUGGGGAAGGCGUAAUUCUCUUUGCUCGGCACUGGGGACCCACAUCGGAUACUAGGAACGGUUUGGUGCCCCCAGUGCAAGAGAGGCAUCUGCUAACUGGAGCGAGUCCGGUGUAGGGUCCCAUGGAGACUGGGGCGGGGAAAGUAGCCCAGGGUUUUCUUUCAAUGGAAGAGUAAAUGGUGUUUUUUUUCUUUUUAAGUUAGCAGGCACAGCAUUUUGAAAUGGGUGUAAGGAAAUCCUCCCUGCAAUAUGUAUUUCUCUUCCACAAAAUCCAGGGAACCUGUGUAUCUUUUUUGGGAGUAUGUCUUCCAGAGGUAAUUGCAAGCAUUUGUGCACAGCUGCAAAGUUGAGAUGCUGCACGCAGGCUGACUCAAAGCACGGAGGCUUGAAUGACUGAUUUUAUUUAGAAAGUUUCAAAUCCACUUACUUUUCAACUGCGCUGGUUGUGCUCAUUUAUUAACUUCCUUCUCCACCUAAUUUACUGUGUGUCAGAUGUUCACACCCAGGAAAUGUGCACUUGCAUAACUGAAACUUUUGCAACUUGAAUGUUUAGUGGCUGAAAGGGAAUGCCAAGGCAUGGUAUUUCUCCCUAGAAGCAGCUUACCUUCUGCUGCUAUGACUAGCACCAAAAUCAUCUCUGUGGAGAAUGGAAGGGCUCCUCCCACAUGGGACAACUGUAGCUUGGACAAAGUGCAGAGACUGCUGCUUGCUGAGAGGAGGAGGAGGAGGAGGAGGAGCAGAAAGAUCUCAGUGUCAUUCAAGGAAAAAUAACACUUUGACAUCAUUAUUAGACCUCUGUUGUUUUCAGUAUCAAAGCUCUGUUUCCCUUUCACCAGAACCAGGACAAAUAAAAUACUAUGAGUUGUAAGCAGUUGCUUUGCAUUCUUUUCUUCCCCUUCAUUGUGAGUCAGAGUGCUGAGGUUCUUGGAGAGGCUGGAAAGAGGAGAGUGCCUAAUUUCCACGGGCACACAGAGUACCGGCAUCUGGACAGAGUUAUAACAAGCAAAAAUUAUACGUAGUGUUUAUGGUUAUGAAGAAUCUCAGUUUCUUGACCGUAUGAGGCGUUCGCAGAUUCUGUAAGAGAGAAAAAAGGCUCAGCUUUUUAUUGAAAGUGACUGACAGAAGAAUAAAACCAGACAAACAGCUGGAGAUGUUGUCAACAUUAACAUCAGCUCUGCUGGCUGGAGUGAAGCUCACUGCAUCAGGCAUGUGGACACGUGUCCAGGUCUACAGAUGUCAUCUCAUGUUUCACCUGCUCUAGGAAUCACAGGACAGCAUGUGUCACUUUGGUGACAGGAGAGAAGCAAAAGCACAGGUAUGAAAGGGUGAAACUUGUUGGUGGGUCUGUAUUGACUCUCCCUUCCCGCUCAGGGUGGAAGAAGAUCCUGGAGGUCCAUGCCUAGCUGAUUUGUCUUGCUGGGGCACUGAGGCUUUACCUGCAAAACUGGAUUGAAGCUGCAACUGGAGAUGCCACUGCUGUCAGCUAAGAAGGGCACUUUUGUUUUCCAAAGGAAAGGCCUUAUUGCACAGAGGGAAAGAGACUAACGGCAGGAACCAGGGUUGUCUUAAACCUGUGACCUGGGGGUUGCCAAACUUCACUGUCUCUCAGCAUCUACUAUUAGGUCAGGUCCAAGGUAUCUGAGUGACUGACUGGUGUGACUGCUAUGGAUACAGAUAACUUAUGUCAUGAGAUAAUCAACCUACUUGUUGAAGUUUUGUACUUCUCCAUCAUUGCAGAGCAAGGUGCAUCAGCCCAGCCAGCAAGGGCCAUGAUCAGUUCCCAUCUUCUCUGUCAUUUUUGCCCUCUUCUUGCUGCAUGCAUCAACAGAAAGAUGCCACUGAUGUUUUACUCAUGUUGCAUGUCUUCUGCUGUUUUGAGUAAAAGUGGGUGGUCUGGUUUUGCCUACAGAGACAAGACUAUGCCAUCCCCUUCACUGCUGGAAGUGGCCCAUUUAAAAAUACACAUUAAUUUUUUUUUCCACAUUGCUUAUCUGAAUUGUGCUGAAUAUUAUCCUUUUUUUUUUAGUAGAGACAGGUCUUGUUUCUUUUUGGAUGUUUCCAGAGUAGAAUUUUUUUUCAAUAAAAAAGGCCUAAUAGAAACUGAGUGUGGGCGCUGUCCCCAUCAACACAAGGGCGCCUGCCCUGAUUCUUUGCACGUCUCAAAGCACAGGUACCACAUCUAGGAAUACAGGGAAGCCCAAGAUCCCAUCAGGAAGGCUACAUGACUGUAAGCCAAGGGGGUUCUUGUUUUAAUGAGUCAGAGCCCUGUUUAGCAUCAGCUGAAGAAAACCAAAGGGAAGAAAAUAGGUACUGACAUCGGAUGUAUGGACUGCAGAGUAAACCAAUGAGAGGUCCAAUCUGCAAGAUCCAUCUCUAAACUUGAAAAAAACCCACCACUGAUAGUGUCAGGCUGCAAAAUAGCAUCGGCUUCUGCAGCGCCAGUGGGGCAGCCGGGAGGCAGCUGGGAGACUUCCACCAGUUUCCACAGUCUUCUGGGGAAACUGGACUUGAGCCUGCUGACUUCCAGGUGUGUAUUAACAACUGAUGUGGAAAAUCUUCUAUGAUAAGCAGCAGGUGGUGGAAAGAAUUUCUUCAUUCUCGCAGACUUGCGAGACCCCCACAUAUGUAUUUUAUGAAGUAUGGGAACCCCAAAAGCUGAAGUUUAGUUUCCAUUACUCAUUGUUUUAGUUUUGCAUAGUCAUUUUUUUUUGCCUAAAUAGAGCAGUCUUCUGCUUAACGUUGUGCGAUAGACCUAAUUUCUUUCUGUGGCUCACGCACCUUGGAGGCAAGGUCACAGCUUGCUGAUCCAGCAAGCCCUGAUUUUUCUUUUCCCCACCCCUGAUCACACAAAACAGUUUCUCAAACAUACCUGCGUCAUGACCUCGAUUUUGAUAAUCAGUGUGAUUAAAGAAAUAGUUUUCACAGAGAGAGAGAGAGGCAGCUAUGGGGAGGUUCUGCUCUUUUCAGCCCCAUUAGCACAGGAACAGAACAAACCACAACUUGCAAAGCAUUGCAGACAACCCAAGGUGUGAUGCAGACCCUCAGCUGAUGAAAUUCAAGAAAUACAGUGGUGGGAUAAUGGCACAAUAGAAGCAAAACUACUAGUGCCUUCCUCUGGGCUCUGGUGGAUGGAACUUCUACCUGCCAGGGGGAUCCUUGACAUUAAAACAAGUGUUAAAGAACGUUUCUCUGCAUGGAAGUAAUGUCUGUACUCCUCUCAUUGAUAUUCAAAUGUUGUGGGUCCAAUUCUGUUUUCAUUUUGUGAAAAAAAAAAAAAAAAGUCUUGUUGAAAGAACAAAAACCAAGCAGUUGUGUGUAGGAGGAUAAAGGACCACUCUGCGUGACUCUUCAGGGCUCAAGGGGAAUCAAUAGUUUUAUGUCAAUGCAUAGCAGCUGAGCAUCUGUGCCAGAAACUUUUCUAUAUCCCCUUCCCCCAUUGACAUAUGUUGGUCAUGCAUUAUGCCUGUCUCUAGUUUGUUAUGCAAUAAGGGCCAUGCUAAAUAGCAUGAAGGUUGAAGUGUUGUUUAGGCUUUGCAUCACAAAAUUUCAUGGCGGCCCCGUACAUCACACUUAAAAAGCAAGGAAGUCUUGCCAAAGAGAUGCCUCAUGGGCGAUCUCACCUGGGCAUCCUUGUGCACAGCCAGGCAAGGCUGGAGUCUUUCCCCUUGCUCUGUCGGUAACGGCUGCAGUCAGCCCCUCUCCUCCCACUUGCUGGGUAGAGUGAAGGCAACAAAGCCAUCUCUGUGGUUGCAGGUCCUCUCCUCCCCUGUUGAGGGGUGCUCUGCUGCAUGGUCCUCCAUGCUGAGCAGUGACUUUCUCUGGGCGAUUUCCCCCAAAGCUUUAGUGCUUGUUUGAAAACAUCAUGCAGGUAUGAAUGCAUCCAUUCCCAUGACGCAGGGAGAUGGAGUGGAAAUAUAAGAUGCACAGUCAUGAUCUUCCUAGUGUAGAUUGACACAGCAAUCUUGUUAUGUUACUGUCUUAAUAAUUUUUUAUUCCUGUAUGGCUUCUAUACAAGCUUUGGAAGAUAUAUUACUGAUGCAAGGGGAGGUUUUCUGUUUAGUCUUAAGUAAACUAAUACCAGUUUAGAUCCUUUCUGUUCCUCAAUCAGUUUGUUCUUCAGCAAAUUCUAUUCUCUUCUUUGAUUGAGAGAUUCACAUCUUGUGUUGUACUCCCUAUGAAAUGUUUUGUUGAGCAGGCUGAAGAAUAAGACUAUUCAUUCUACAUGUCUUCAAAGAUAAUUUACUUUAUUUACACUCAUUUGCAAUUCUCCUAGAAACUUUCCUCAAGAGACAAACAGAAGGACACACAGGCUGGGGCUAUAAACUAAGCUCUUGCUGCUCACAAAAGGUAUAUUGCAGUGAGGACUUUUGCUGCAGCUUCUAUCCAUGGAGACCUGGGUGGAAACCAGUCCAAAUGAAAGAUGGCAUAGGACACAGUUGCUCCAGCACAGGGGAAGAGUUCCCCAGACCCAAGCUGUUCUUCCCUCAUCCUUAGGCACAGCACUGGAUGGACUUCUUUUGCAGGUAGGCAGGCAAGGUGAGCUCCAUGUGGCUAGGGGUCAGCUGCUACCUCCUGGGCAGGAGCAUCCUCCCACCCAUCCAUGUAGCCAGGCUUUGCUGUACUGUAAUGCUUAAGGACAAUGGCAUGGGACCAGCUGGGAUGUUGGAUCAUAGAGAUAUGGAAAGGUUUGGGGAAGUUUGGUUUGGGUUUUGGGGUUUUGUGUGUGUGGUGGUUUUGGUUUUUUUAAACAGUAUUUGAAAAAGCAGAAGAUGAGAAUUAACAAGUGUUGGGAGAUACAGGAACAAUAAAUUCCACUUGAUCCUUCCCACCUUCAGACAUCUUGGAAACAUCUUCCUUUUAAAUUGCAACUUACAGCCUGUGUUGUUUGAUAAGGUAACAAAAUGGGUAAAACAUAAAAGCCUUUUGGAUCCUGCUUAUGGAAUAUCUCUUUCUGCUGGCUGCAAAGACUUGCCAGGUCAAACCAUAGAGCCUCAAAAGUCCAGAAGUAAAUAAGAUUAACUCUUUUCCCUCUUUUUUCAGAUGUGAAUUUAAUUACAUUUUAAAAUUUAAAAAAGUAUUCUUGUAUGCGUUUUCUAAAUUUAUUUUACCUAGUAUUGGUCCUUGCAUGAAGCUUCUAUACCUUGAACUGUGGUAUGGUCAUGCUUGAAUUGUUCUGAUACAUGACCUAGGUGAUGGAGUUCCUCUGCAGGAUGGAAAAAAUCUGUUGGUAAGAAAGCAUGUGUAAAUUCUCAUCUGAGACCCAGGCCACAUCUGCCACAAGAUCAGAAUUUCUGGACAGAUACAACAGCUUCUGCAAUUUUUUAAAUUUUUUUUUUUUUAAAGUAACUUCACAGAUUUAUUUAAGCUAAUAUUUCAGAGCAUGCUCUCUUCUCUUUAAGUAAUUUCAUACAGCGGUGUCCACUGUAGGGAUCUGUGGUUAUCAUUGAAUUAGAGCUCAUUUAUAAAUACCAUAAGCAUCAGGGUAAGUGACGUUAUUUGGAAAAAAGUAAUUAAACUGUCCUGACGAGGUGGUCCAAUCUGCAGGCUGAAGACAAGUCAGGUCCUGCUGCAGUGUUGUGCCCAUUUCCAGAUGCUCCCUCCCUCCUGGGGCUGGCAAUCCCAGCACAUCCCCAUGACUAAACUCCCAGGCAGGCCAGCAGUCCCCAGGUGGGUGCUCCCGUGGCAGCAAGGGAGCAUAAAAUUCACAUCCUUGAGCACACUGGCCCAAGGUCUCUAACUUGCCUUAUUAGAACUAUGCCUAGUCCCCAUCCAAACCAGAAGACCCAUAGAAAUAAUCUUCAACAUCAGCACUGGUAGAAGGAGACAGGAGAAAGAAAUGUUCAGCUACUUCUUGCCAUGUGCCAAAAUGUUAAUGCAACCCAUAUGUCCGUAUGUGAAAAAGAAACAAUAUCUUACGCAAACUAGCUGUCCCUCAUCAUGGAACAGCCUUGGCUCUUUCACGUUGUUUUACAUUUUUUAAGUGGGGUGUCAGGUUAAUUAAGAAAUCCCUGUAACGGCCUUUUGAAGUAGGAGCAGCCGGGCUGAAUCCUUCCUCUUCCUCCAGCUGUCCAAGCCCCCGCGGCAGGGCAGGUGGGACAGGAGGCAGAACUUUCUGGCUGGGGAAAGAGGAUGUCGCAAAAUGAAUGGGAGCCCCACCAGAGGGAAGAGGGUUUCCUGGGCUGGUACACGUGGCUGGCAGACGUCCUGCCAGAGGAGGCAGGUGAACCUGUGAUGAAGCCACUGGAGAAGUCAGGGCCUCCUGGAACCUCAAAAAUUUUGAGCAGAGCUCAAGCUGAACAAGUUUUUCCUGUGUUGCGUUUGCUUUUUCUUGGGUUUUCACACAGGCUUUCUACAAAAACGCCUUUCCUUGAGCGUGAAGCAGUGGCUAAUACAUGAAAAAGUACUAGGAUUUCAGUUUCCAUUUGCUGAACUUCAGCAUCUUCCCAGGCACGCUUCCAGAAAUACACAAUAAUAGAGUGGUUAAACUCAGAGACGCUACCACAGAUGUCUCACUGUCCGAUAUUGGAUACAAGGAUAUAUCUGCUUCAGCACACUAGCUACAAAAUACUGGCUUAAUCUUUCCAGAUUGAUGCUGCCUUCAUUAUUUUAGUCUCAACAAGGGAGAGGGAUGUCUGGGGGAUGGAGACCAAACUGCCCCCGAUGUAAAAUAGAAGGCAUCCUACACAAAUGAGAAUAUUUACCUUAUUUGCAUUUUAGCUCAUUAACUAGGGUAAAACCCUGGCUUGCUGCCUCUGUGAAGAGGCAGACCACAUCAUUUCCUUGUCACUGCAGAUUUUUGGAGCUCUAGGCUCAUUCCCCAGGAUUCAGGCAAUGUUUGAAAGACAGCUGGAGGUGCCCUCAUCCCCACCUCCACCUCCACACCCAGGUAUGGAAAGACCAUGCCAUGCCCAGGAGCACCAGUAGCCCCUGGUGUCCGUGAAGAUGCAGGUAUUUCUAGAGAGAUUUGGUAUUUGGGGCCAGACUCUGCCCAGAGGAGCACAGCAAGAGCCAGAAAGGCACCGGCACAAGCUGCAGCAUGGGAAACCCCACAUUACUGAAAUCCAGGUUUUCCAACGCAUUUGUUAGCAACCGGGAAAAGAGGAAUUUUGCUGAUGAUGCUGUUUUGCAGAAUGGUAAAGCUGAGGGACAACAGUGAAGAACUGCAGGCUGACUAACUGGAUGCAAAGGAAAAAUAACCCAAAUGCCACGUAUGUGGUGAUGGAUUCUGGCUGAUGAUGAGCACGCUAGAAUGAGAUCCAAACAUUUUGAUGGAUGGUCCCAUGAAAGGACCAGUCCAUUGCUCAGGAGCAUCAAAAAAAGCCGGAAGGCCAUAAGGAAUGAGCAGGAAAGGAAAAGAGAGCAUCACAAUGCUGCAACGCAAAUCCGCUGUGCUCUGUGUCUUGUAUACCAGGUGCAGUUUUAGUCUUCCCAUCUCAGAAGGGAUACAACAGAGCUGGGAAAACUUUGGGGAGGAUGAAAGAUCUGGAACAGCUUCUGUACAAGGGACUGUACAUGACCUUUCCUGCUAUAAAAUAUCAGAGUGUAUCAGAUGGCAUUAGCUUCAGCUGGAGGCAGGUUCAGCUUGGGCAAGAGGCAGGUGUUGCUCUCAGGACAUGUUUCCCCUGCAGGGUCCCCUGGUGCAUGGCUUUGGGGAUGUGAGGAAAUUUUGUGAGUUUAAAAGAGCGAUGAACAAGUUCACCUAUAAGGAAUUCGUUCAAGGGUACCGAUUGCUUCCAAAAUGACCUAUUUCAUAAAAUCCCUGAGCAGCAAAGUACCAGAAGCUGUGGAGCACCCAGGUGAAAUUUCCCUGCCUGUUUUUCUUAUUCUUAGCCUUUUCCCAGGUUUCUGGCCAAUGUUCAGGACAGGGUCCUGGGAUUAGUGGAUUUGCACCAAUACAGCCAUUUUCGUGUUCUUCUGACACAGGAAAUCAAAGAGACGUUCCCUUGUGAAGACGGAUGUAAUGAGCAAGGCAUCAUGAAUGAGUGAUUUCUGCUUUACAUCCUGAUUCAAGCUAAACAUUUAAUGAUGAAGCCCAGAGUUCAGAGACUGAAGGAAAGAAAAAGAAAAAUAACCCCCCCAAACUUCUGUGGAAGUGUAAAAAUGCAUUCUGUUUCAGAAAAUCUGUGUUACUCGGUUUUGAGUAAAAGAAUUACAGGAUAUCUCACAAUACAAUCAUUCAUGAACUGAACUGGUAAGCAAUACUGACAAGACAAAAGGCGCUUGCACCAAAAUGCUGAAUAAGCAAAGAAAUGUGUGCAAUUUGCAAUGUGUUCACAGUUAUUUUGCCAGCAGAAAAGGGUCUCGGUCUGGGUGAUUCACUUGCUGUCAUUUGGCUCCACUUCAGAGGUGAGGGUUUCGGAAUUACUCAGCCCCAUGCUAACGAAUCGGAAGUUGUGUAAUGCUAUUGAAGUAUCUUGCACCUUUGACCCCUUUGAACCCACAAAAAGUACUAAGCAGAUGACUUAAAAAUAAGACCUUGCUGCUCUUUUUCCCCCUAACUUAAUGCAAGUUUCAUUCCAGUUUUAUGCAAGUCCUUGUUUUAGACAUACUGGCUUGCUCAUGGCUGAUACUAAGACUCAACAAAACAAUCUCAGUGCUGCACUGUAGAGACAAGUGGUCUUUAAUUACUGACGAUAGAUACUGUGGUCUUAGUCACUACUCAAGCACCACCAAGACUUUUCCAUAGUACCAGAGCAUCUCUUUUCUAAUCUGACUCAUACAAGGAAAGAAGAGGCAGAGUAUCUGGGGCACGAGGCAUAGUCUGGCAAAGAUGGGACAAGGUAGAGUGAGAGGGCUCAAAAUUCUAAGUGCAAUCCUCUUUUGACUCAGUAAUUGCUUUUUUGUCCUCUACCUUGACUUCUUCCCCAAGGAAGAGGAGUAGUAAAUAAGGACAUGUAUUUGUUGGUGGGAGAUGGGAAAAAGUGAUAGUCCUGUCCUGGAGGAACCUGGGCAGAAAUCAAGGAAGACUAUAAAGCUGUGGGGUUACAAGUGAGAAAUUUUGAUGCCCCAGUUAUUUUUUUCUUCCAUUUUACCAGUAAGAGGAAAGGGUGCAGCCAGAAAUAGAUGUAUAAUGCCCAUCAACUUCUGGCUUCACAGCUGGUGCCAUCGGGAGGAGUUUGGCUUCUAUGACAUUGGGACAUUCUUUGACUAGACCCUGUUAGGGUGGGAUGGGACCCAUCUGUCUAGAAGCAGCAAGGGAAUCUUUGGCAGCAGACUGGACAGCUUGGUGGGAUGGGCUUUAAACUGAAGGACUUGGUGUGGGUUGGGGUCCAAGGUGGCAAUGCUCACACCAUCACAUCCAACUGGGGAAUAAGCCAGGCCAACCAGAGCAGCGAUGCAUGUUCCCUUGCUGCCUCCCAAGAUGGGUACAGAAGGCCAGCCACCUCAAGGGUGUGCGUGGCCAUGGUGGAUCCUCUUGCAGCCCUCCUGGGAAACCUGUGUGCUCUGAAGUGCCUGUACACCCACGCACGCAGCACGGGGAAUACACAGGAAGAAUGAGAGAACAGUGUGCGGUGGCAGGGCCAUGAUCUCAUUGCAGUUAUGGGGACAUGGUGGGGUAGCCCACAUCACUGGAAUGCUGUCAUGGGUGACCACGUACUUUUUAGGAAUGUCCAUUUGGAAUUAAAUCUGGUGAGGGAGGUCAACAGAUCUUGUGCUGGGGCAAUGUGUGGUUUCCCAGACAGCCUGGCAGGCAGGUUUCCACCAGAUGCACCCUAAUCCCUUCCACUCCCUGGGAUCCCAGUGAGUGAGAGGGAUCCCACUCCCCAGUUUUGGAGCAAACCCAAGAGAAUCAGUGAUCAGAGCCAGGACAGUGGCUGGGAAACAAGGUCUUGAUUUCUCCAUAAUGAGCAGUCAAGGUACCCACCACUACAGGCAACAGCCUCAAGGGAUCCUGCAGUGCGUGUUUCCCACUGUGCCUCAGGGCUUCAGAAAGAAAAUAUUGCAGGAUUUCUAGUCUUUUUUUUUUUUAAAAAAAAAAAGAAUUAAAGAAUUAAACAAAGCAAGAAAAAUCAGCAGUUUUGUCUUUUCUGCCUGAUUUCAGCCAAGUGUGUGUUCAGAAACUCAGAAGUUUUAUGUAACUGGAACUUGGCGUCCCUUUUGGCUUUACAGUUAACUUCCCCAUCUUGCUUACAGGGAAGACAAACAGAGAUUUCUUUUCCAAAUUAUUUUAUUGUUAAAGAAAGCCCAUGUGCAAGCUCAGAGAGAUUACCUGACAACUAUCUGUUCCUCUCUUGGUGGAGGGGACUGGGUGGGUCUCUAGUCCAAACCCCAUGCACCAGCACAGUCCCAGGCUGCUAUAGUGUGGCUGCUCUCCCUGGGGUGCCUCUCCUCCAUCCCUGCCUGUGCCACAGCCAGGGGCCACUUUCAGAGCCCCCCCAGCCUCCCCAUGGUCAGACUCAAGGAUCCCAGCUGUGUGUUUCAAGGUGCUGUUGGUAGGUAUUUAAUGAUGCCAGAAUUCAUCUCUCCUUGAUGGUUUUGUUGGAGAUGUGUUUUCUUCUGGAUGCCGCCAUCAAAUACAGCCACACUGCACGCAGGGCAGCAGUUGGUGCUUCUGGUUGUUUUGCAUUUUGAUGCAGAGGUUUCUCAGGAAUUUAUCUCAGGAGACCUACUAAUUUGUCCUUCUCUCUUUACCAGCCUGUCUUGUCAAGCUCCUAAGACUCUUCCUUGGUCGUUGUGCUCAAUCACUAACUAAAAUCUUCUCAUUCUUCCCCCCCCCCCCCCUCACCCCCACUAUAAAAUAGUUAAUAAAGUAAAAUAUCUCUAGACCUGUGCAAAAACAAUGAGCCUGGGCUCUGCUAGGUAGGUCUUCCAUGGGAAAUUUCCCCUAACAUGUUCACUGGUGGGGCAGUGGGAGAGAGUAUCUUUUCAUGGCUGGGUAGAGGUCUCCCAUGGUCUCUAAUUCCCCUAAAGCUCUACACAGAGGCUUGAAAUUCAGGAGAGGUGGGUGCUAGAUGUGACACCCCUGAGCCAGGCUCUUCUCGCCAAACCCAGCUCUAAACAUGCAUUCAAGAAUUUGCUGGAUUUUCCCAAAGCCCUGAGCAGGGACUUGUGUGAUCCACAAGUUUGAAGGUGCUACUGGAUAAAUAAAUACCUCCUGAGAGCAGCCACCUUCCCCCAGGCCCACCUGCCAUCUGGUUUGGGUGAGAUUGGCAUGUCCCAAGCAUUUGCACCACAGUCAUGGGGGGUCAUUUGAAGGAAGAGUGGGGGAAGAAGGGCAUUCGUGCCUCUGUAGAGGAAUAAAUGAGGAAAACCAGUGUGUUGUGGUGGAAGACCACAGCUGCUCGUAGCUAUUAAUACCUUUCCUUUUCAACACAGAAAGGGUAUAACCUGUCGUGCCUUUGCCAUGGGCAUCUCCAAGAAGGAGAGCUGCCUGAACCAAGAGGAGCAGCCCUUGCCAUGACUCAAAACCAGGAAGGGCAGUGGCAAAACUCAGUGAUUCGUGGCCUAGGUUUGCCUGGCAUCUUGGGAAAUGCCUCAGGUGGGUUUUAAUUUGCUUUUAGCCUGUUUAGCUGGCGUUACCUCUUUCCUUGGGCUUUCUCCCUCUCUGCAUUGGGAACCUUUCUGCGCCUGCUCCCACCCAACCUGUCUCUCCUUAAAACACAGCUCUGUGAUUACAUGCAGAGCAGGGAAGUAAAACCCAGAUCCCAUUGCUUUAUAACCAGAUAGAAUAAUGUUGAUAAUUCACAACUAGUCCAAAGAAACCUCAAACACCAAAGAACCGGCAAUGAAAGUGAAUGUCUUUGAGGACUGCAAAAAGCUCUGGUUUUAGUAUAAUGACUGCUAUUAGCAAAGAAUAAUUUACAUCUCUUGGUUUGAUGUUCUUAAAUAUGAACCGGGGAUGACUACUCAAGUAGACAAUUCAAUGCCUAAUGUAGUCGAAGGGUUACGGUAGCCGCAUGCGCCGUGCUGACCUUUCAGUAGUUUCAAACUGGCCGUCUCUCCCAUCCCUCCCCCACAGGCUGGGACAGCUGUAAACAUUCCCGUAAUAAUGAGACAAUUGUAACAUCCUAUUUAUUUUCCAUUAAGAACCAGCCCGGCACAGGCUUAGGUGGCCCAAGAGGGUGGGCAAGCAAAGCCCGUCCAUGCCCUCCUGCCACGGCCCAGUGCUGCUCACCCCUGGAGCUGUGAGAGCACCAGAGACCCAUUACAUGCAGAGAAAUGCCUCUGGUGCUCUCACUGUGCCCCUCCGAGCAGAGUCGGGCCAUGGCAUCACUAGGAGCCCUUCUGCAAGAUGGAAAUAGCAGCCCUAAUCCCUUUUCAUCUCUCACCAGCUCUUCCCAUCCCUGGUUCUCCCUGGGGUGCGGGAGCGGCGGGCAGGGAGGAGGGCAGGAAGUCGCUGACGCGUGUGGUUGGAUUUCAGUUUGAACACUGUCCAGAAAGGAGCACCAAAUAUUAGUAAACAGAUCAGGAAACAUUUCCGUGUUUGGCGGUAACUCUGCUUUUUCACGGCAGCAAUCUCCAGUGGUUUUUCCACUAGAGCAAAAGACCUGCUUGGCCGCUCUGCUUAAAUCGAAGCAGCUCAGAUCCUGAUCUUCACACUGACGCCUCUCCUCCAGGGCUCCUGACUUUGUGCCUGGAGCCAAGUCCUGCUGAGCAGAGGGUGCACACUCUUGUGCAUGCCCAGGGGAUUACAGCACCCUGCUGCCAUGCCCAACAUCUCUGUAAUGAUCCAGGCUGAAAAGGAAAGGAUCAAGAUGGUUGGCCUAUUUUGCUUUUCAAAAGAAGAUUAUGAAGCGGUUUCCUUGCCACGCAUUAAAGAGGGAAUUAUUGCAUACCAAUGGGCUCUUUAGGACAAUGAGAAAAGGCCUAUCAAGUCUUGGUGGUUCAAGCUGCAGACAGUCACAUUAGAAAAAAGACCUGGGAGAGAAUCAAGCACUGAAGCAGCUAACUGAAUGAAGUCCUAUCUUUACUAUUUCUUGACAUCCUCAGGAAAAACCUGGCAACCUCUCUGGGAUGAGUGCAAGCUGCUCAUCUUCCCUCUAUUGUUGACUUCCACUCAACAAGGUCACAGUUAGGUCCUUGGAUAAGAAGUAUGCGGUCACAGACUGGUUUCGGAAAGACCUCCUUUUGUGCACAACACCUCCCACUGCAAGUGUUGAUGGAUGUUGAUGCAGGUGGAAGUGCCACCAGCAUCAAGAAGAGCAAUUGAGAGGAAGAGGGUAAAAAAUGAGGCCUGUGCGGUGAAAAUGAUUUCUGAUGAGAAAAUCUCUAUAUUGGACAAAAUGCCUGCCUGAUCCAUAGCCAACAGCAACCCUAAGAGGAAAGAAGGAGGAAAAAAGAAACAGAAUUUGUCUGUUUUCAUGUUAAACUUCAUGAAAGGGUGUGAGAAACCAUAUGAUCUGCCCUCCUCCCUGCCCUCUGCAGGUGCAUGUUUCAUGCACCGAUGGACAACAUGAAGAGUAUAAUGCACCCAGCUUCCAAAAAGAAAGCCUCAGCUCCGCACACACUGGCAUCCAAGAUGUCUGGAAGAAAGAUUUUUAAAUUGGUACAUGUGGUCUCUCCAGGCCUACAUGCACUGUCUACAUGGAUUGCCCUACAGAAGGAUGCAAGUGGGAUCUGCUUGCUUGAUGACAAUCACUUUUCUGGUGUAUUUUCAGAUGGUCUUACAUCAGACUGCCAGACUGGGUGGUAGUGUGCAGGUCUGGUGUCUCAAGAGAAGCCUGCAGGAGUGGCUUUACCAUAAAUCACCUAUAACUAGCCCAGAGCAUGUGUUUUGGUUCGGAAACACCAACAAAAAGCAUCCCAAGGAAAUCCCUCAUGUAGCCUCCCAGUGCGGCUGGGAAGUUAACUCACAGUUUAAGGGUCUUUGCUGGUAAUGGGCUGCAGAUUAGUCACGUGCUCACCUUCUGCAGGGUUCAUCUCCAGCUCUCAUUCAUCCAGUGAAAGUGCUAAGUGUGCUGGUGCGUUUUAACUAGGUUUGCAGAUAGUUUCUACCCAUCUACUCUGCAUGUCAGGCUUACAUGCAGCAAACAAAACUAUGCUGAGGCGUAGAUGGAGCCUGAAUCUUUUGCUAGCAAUGGCCAACUGGGAAUAAGAGUUACUUCUUUAUAGCAGAUGUGUAGCUCAAAGUUCACCAUAAGUGCACUCACAUCAAGAGCACAGCGUGUAUUGUUCUGCAAGAAGGCUAAACUCAGCUCUUCAAAAGACUAUGGAACAACUAAUUUCAUUAUUUGAGAAAUAAAGCAAGCAAGUGAGUGAGAGUCAAAAUUAACCCUUUGGUCAAUCUCUGGAGUAGGGGCUUUCUUUAACGCCCUUGAGUUAAAUGCCUGUGUUCACAGAUGCAUGCAGAAAAUCUGCCAUACAGUGUCCUGUUUCUGUUUUUCUCACUACUUUAGGAGUUAAAUAUCAUAUUCCUUCAAAAAUGACUAGUUGGACCAACGCCAGGUGGAGCACCCCCACAUGAAGUCCUCUGUGAAUAUGGCUCAGGAUUUUCAUCUACAGUUAUGACCUCCAGGGAAAAUCAAAAGAAACAAAUCAUUUUUUUUUAAUUAUCCAUACAGAAAUAGAUCAUUCUAUUACUGACCAAAUUGAAAAAUAACACUUGCAGGCAAGAAGGGCAAAAGGAGAAGACAAGUCCCAUGAGAAAACUUCACCUAGGUAUUUUUAUGUAGAUUUGAGCAAAGAAAAGUGCAUUUCUACAAUUGCCAGCAAAUCCACAUUAAGUGGUGGAUCUUUGCCUGUGCUAUUUGUUUGUGCACAGCAAGAGAUGAAUGCGAUCCCUCGCUGCAACAUUGAUUUUAGCCUGGUGUGGUUCCCCCGAAUUCAGAAUGACCAGAUUCUGCCCAAAACCUGACCCUGGCCCUCAUAAUUUGUAAUAAAUGCAAUAACAAACCCUGUGUCUCUGCUUCACUUGCAGCCAUGCUCCAGAAACACACUAAUGACUGGGAAAAGGGAGGUUCAGCUCCUGGUGUUUCCCUGGGCCACACAACCACCUCCAUAGGCUUUGCAGGACACGGCCCAGCUGCUUUCACCUUGCUCUCUAGCCAUGGUAACACAAUGCCAGCCACAACAAGGGCAAAUCAUGUCCCCUCUUGUACACAACCAUGCAUCACUUGGCCAUGUGGCUGGUGCAUGAAUUAUUCCUGGAAUUCUCCCUGCCUGACCAAAUUCCUCUUCUCUGGAGCUAAGCUGCUCACUCAGCAUGAGUCCUACCUGUGAGUUUAGCACUAAUGGAAAAACUCAGGAGCAUUUCACACCUAAAGAAACAGCCAUGCCACAUCAGAAGGUUAACAAUGGGGGUUUGUCAAAGACCAGCUGUAGCUUUUAUCCCAUUGGUCUUCAAGGAUGCACGUGUGGAAGUGUUCAGUAGAAAUCUGCUACCUGGUCCGGAUUGCUUGAUGAACAGGACAAGGGCUACCAGAGGUUUCCUGUAUUCUCAGAAAUGUGCUCUGCGUAGUCAUCCUCCAUGAAGAGAGAGUUAACCCCACCCCUGCCAAAUAGCUUCUUCUGUGGGUGAAGUCAACCCAGCUGGCAAGAAACUGUGAGCAGGGCGCUCUCAGGGGCACCCCACUUGCAUGGGGACAGGCUGUUUCCUUGGGGCUGGCCGGGGUUUGCCAUGUUGCCGCUUGUGCCAGUGCCUCUGGGGCUCUUGCUGUGCCCCUCUGAGAAGAGUCCAGUGCUGGCAUCUCCAGGACUCGUUCGCUCAGAAGGAGAUGCCGUUGGAUCACUCUUUGCCUCUUUGCCUCCAGCUGAGCAAGCCCAGCUCCCACAGCCUCUCUUCAUGUGCCCUGGCCCCCACCCACCAUCACCAGGGCCCUGGAAGUCUCCACUGUACACCACCUUUAAACUCAUCUCAUCUUUGUUUUCCAUUCCCAUCCUGAAAUGAUCUCAGACACAAUUUGCUUUUAGACAUCAGUCCAGCUGCUUGUUCGUGCUCACAGUUCAUUGCCACACUUUCCAACACCUUCUGCAAGCUGUUGGUACGCAACAUCCUUGUUUGCAAGUGGAGCCUGGCUGGCAAGGCACAGGCCACCCCUGGUGAGCAGGUGGAAAGCAACCCAGCCUUGCCUCGAGCUAGCUAGAGGUUAGCAUCCUUCACCUACCCAGCAGCACCAAGCGUGGAGUGUACUGACCUCUAAUCUCCUCAUCAGAGAGGUCUGAGGGCUUGUGUCAUGGGCUCUUGGUCUCCAGGGUGGUAUUUCAACAGUACUGGUGGGGUGUUGGAGGGAGCUGACCCAUCCAAAAUGUGCACGGAGCACCGUGCUCUUUCCAAAGCCCCGUUCUGAGUCUGCGGUGCUCCCAGCUUGCAGUGAUGCCAUUCAGCUCUCGCUGAGCAGGUCUGCGAGGUGAGUGCUGCUGCUGGGUCCAUGAACACCUUGGGCCUGACCCUUCUUGCCACCUAAGAGAGGAGAAGAUGAAGUGUCAGGGUGUUCUCUGCAGCUUCCUUCUUUUGCAUCACUGUGGCCUGAAACUGUGUCUUUCCUUGGGGUGGCUCUGCUCACCGAAUGUCCUGCACAUAUUGAAACUCACUGCCUUUCACAGUGUCUGGGAAGCUUGCCUAAUCCUUUUUAUUUCAUUACCAGGGCAUGAAAAGUCCAUGGAUCUCUUCCUCAAGCCCUUGCUCCAGUGGGAGCUGCGUGCCCUCUCCAUGGGGGGAGAUCAGCCUGUGGGCUCUGAGCCUGCACAGCCCAUCAGAGUCCUCCAGGGCACAUUGGAUGGGCCAGUUGCAACCAGCAGUGGGAAAAUGAUCCCACAGGUCUGCAAAUGCAGAACUGUGUCCUCUUAUGGGUGACUUUCCCUCUUUGUGGAGAGCUGUCUAACUCCCUGUCCCUGGGAGGGAGCAUUCCUGGCCCUGGCAUGGCUCUGGGUGCUGCAGAGGGAGGAGCGGGGACAGCCCCCUUGAGACGCUGUCACAGAUGCCAGAAAAGACCUGGGAUGCUGAUCAUGUUGGGGUGGUUCUGCCAGGAUGGUGUCAGGAUGGUCUGCCUGAAUGCAGGUGGAUACUCGAGGAGGUAGCCCGUGAACAGCACACGUGUCCGUUGCCGUAGUGGGGACACAUGGGAAGCAAAGCACAUUGUCCUCCGAGGUCAGAGCUGACCUGUAACCAUCCCUUGUGGCCUCCUCACGAGCAUCUGCCAUGUAAAGGGAGUCAGCUCCCCCUUGCAGAGCAGCAAAGGAGCAGAUGCGUCCCUUUCAUUUCCUCUUUCCUUUCCCAUGUCCAGCACAUGGUCCUGGGGGUGCAAAUAUGACAAGCUCUUUUAUUUGGCAAAGCAGCCAGAAACUAUCUCCAGCCACAUUUGGGCAGAAACCCCAGUUUUUUCUCUAACCCAGAGCUGUUGUGUCCUGCUCAGAAAUCCUUUGGCAAGUCCUUUGGCAAGGGCCAGGGGACUGGCUUAAACACUAGACUAUGAUAUUUUAAAGGUUUUAUUUAUACUUGCUGCAAUCCUGCUGUGUUUGUAGUUCACACUCCCAAGCUGGUCUCCAAAUCUGCCUUUUAAAUAAAAGGAGAGCAGGGUUUACACUGCACAGGUGUGCUAAGUGAGGCAGCAAAUCCAAAAUGACCAGGGUGCUGAUAGUCCAGGUUUUGGACCAGAAUUGCUCCAGCACCUCCCUAAUAAAGAGCAAUAAUCAUGCACAGCCAAUGGCUAUUCCUACAACGUUUGUGAGCAGCUUGAAAACAAAAAUCUCUUCAUACUGGAGCAUUUCUGAUACUUCAUUUCUUCAUGAUGGAGAAUGACCACGUGCAUGCUCACAUCUCAGCGGGUGCAAAUGAAACAUCGGCCCUGCUUUGAGGUGGUGAGCUGGGAUUUUCUGUGCACUGAAAAGGUGGCAAAGGAGAGUGGCUGAGCCCCUCCUCUCCUACCAGCUCCUCCCCUUUCCCUCUGCUCUGGGCAAGGAAAGCAGCUGUCAGGACAGAGGCUGACCUAUAUUCCAGCCCUGAGUGGUGCCUCACUGGCCACCACUUCUCCCCCCGCCGCCCCAAUCUGUGCUGAAAAUGGCAGAGAGGAUGGCCAAAUCCGUGCAUGGUGCGAGCAUCACUUCCAUGCCCUGAAACAAGCCUGGGGAGGGGAAAUGAGACCUCAGUCCUUGCAGCAGGGCGUGCUUUGCUUUAGAGAUCUUGAUGUGCAUGAUCAUCCUGGAGAAGAGAUCUGAGCAGACGAUAGCGCUGAGAAAGGAAGGAUGUUUCGGCACUGGCACAGGUGAGGGAGGAGGUGCCAUUCGGCUCGACAGGAACCUUGUGCUGAAAAGAUAAUUUCAAGCUGAGCUGUGGUUUACCACAGUGUCCUCGUGACCGGCUGAGUGGUCGGGCGGCAGGGACAGCGGGCAACGGGCUUGUUUUCCCACAGCCGGGGCCCGCACAGUGUGUCAGGGUUUGGCUAGGGCAAAGCGGCGGCUUUCUGCUCACUCGUGUGGCCCCAGCUUGCACCAACCCCCCUUGCAUUAAAACCCCUUCCCCAGAUUUUCAGAGCAACCAGGGGGAAGGGCGACAGGCACGCACAGUGUGGUGCACAAGGAGCUGGGGUUCUUCCUUCCACUGGGACAGCGCCCAAAGAACCUGGUUAUAGUGAUG